GUAAAUAAACUUUUACCUUAAUUUCAAGCAAUAAUUACAAAUUUACACCAUAAUCAGUUUCAAAAGAAGUACUUUUACAAUAGUGAUGAGCCGUGAUCGGAAAUGAGAGAAGCUCCACCAGAAGGCGACGGAGAACCAUCUACCGGCGACCUGCUUUGCUGUCAAGACUCAAGGAGGAGGAGCUCGGGAAAGAAGCCACUUUGUGCAGCCUUCUGCUGGAAGCGUCUUUCAAUUUCGAGCAAAAAAAUUUAUAAUUUUACAUAAAAUUAAUAUAUUUUAGCUUCCAAUAAGCACUAUGACAAUAAUCAUGGGGCCAAGCUUAGGAAAGUGGUUCACUGAGGCUAUGGCUGGCUUCAUGGCAAUGACAGAUACUGAGAAGUGAGCACUGGUAGGCAUCUUAAAUUUAAGUGCCAAAUUAAGGAAAGUGGUUCACUAGGACUUUGGUAGUUGGCUUUUCUAUCAUCAGAUUACCAACUUUCUUGAUACUGAGCUUAUAUCAACACAAUUUAUGAACUUACAACUUUGUAUAAACAUUUGUUCUUGUUGAACAAUCACCUAGACAUGGUGAUAACAACCCUUUUGGCUCUCCUAUCAACGGGUUUCCAAUUUUCUUUGUCAUAUUGACAAUGAUUCUUUUUGGAUCAACCCUCGUAAGGUCGUUCGACUUCGUCCAUCAGCUACUCUUUUACCAUUCUAUCAAUAUGACAUCAACAUUCUUGCAAUUGUAACAAUACUAAAUCAAAAUUGAUACAUGAUCUUACGACUUUGUAGAAACUUGAAUAUGGUCACAUAGAACAACCCUUGAGGAGGCAUCCCUUCAAAAGCCCUUCAUUUCUUCCAUUGGGACAUGUUGAUGAAGCCUCUUCAACAAAGGAAGAUCCUAAUUCCUUGAGAUUUACAUGCACAUUUCAUUCCUUCUCUCUGUACUUCAAUAAUUACACAUAAUUUGGCUGCAGCAUUUUCAAGACGACAAAAGUAAGCAUUUGAAGUUAAUGAAUGAUAAUAAUGAGAAGUGAGCACUAAUAUAUAAUGUUUAGGUGGUUUAUUUGGUUAGCUCAUCAUUAAUUAAGGGAAGUGUAUUAGGUUUGUUCUUAUUUAUUAAAUUUUGCUUUGAGUGUGUCACUAUAACCUAAGAUUUCAGCUCUCGAAUCAUUUCGUUUAAAUUUAUUUAUUUUUUAUAUUAUCA
rnacentral:lncRNA from 1 species